rnacentral:rRNA from 1 species
GGAAUCGCUAGUAAUCGCAAAUCAGAAUGUUGCGGUGAAUACGUUCCCGGGUCUUGUACACACCGCCCGUCACACCAUGGGAGUUGGAUAUGCCCGAAGUCAGUGACCCAACCGAAAGGAGGGAGCUGCCGAAGGUGGAGCCGGUAACUGGGGUGAAGUCGUAACAAGGUAUC